rnacentral:rRNA from 1 species
GUGGGGAAUAUUGGACAAUGGGCGAAAGCCUGAUCCAGCCAUGCCGCGUGUGUGAAGAAGGUCUUCGGAUUGUAAAGCACUUUAAGUUGGGAGGAAGGGCAGUAAGUUAAUACCUUGCUGUUUUGACGUUACCGACAGAAUAAGCACCGGCUAACUUCGUGCCAGCAGCCGCGGUAAUACUAAGGGUGCAAGCGUUAAUCGGAAUUACUGGGCGUAAAGCGCGCGUAGGUGGUUUUGUAAGUUGGGAGUGAAAGCCCAGGGCUCAACCCUGGAAUUGCUCUCAAAACUACAAGACUUGAAUUCGGGAGAGGAUAGCGGAAUUGUCAGUGUAGCAGUGAAAUGCGUAGAUAUUGACAGGAACACCAGUGGCGUAAGCGGCUAUCUGGACCGACAUUGACGCUGAGGCACGAAAGCGUGGGGAUCAAACAGGAUUAGAAACCCGAGUAGUCC